rnacentral:misc_RNA from 1 species
UGUCAAACGAAAUCACAAUAAAAUGGUGGACAUUGGUGUGUCAUUUGAUUUGUUUAGAGGUAUAAAAGUGAUUGAUUUGUAAUUUGGAGCUUAUUAGUGUAAAAUAAUAACUGAAGAGAGUGUUAAUUGUAUAAUACAAGUAUGACAAGUUUGAUAGAUAAAAUAGAGAAGUUGAUUAAACGUGAAAAGACCACGCCUGAGCGGAAACGAAAAGAUGAGUGUACGAAGUCUUCGAGCGAGAUUCUAUCAGAAUUAUUUAGUGCGUUUAACGCUGAUCCUCCUAAGAUCGACGAGGCCACCUUGAAGAAAUCAAAAAAGAGUAAGAAGAAGCACAAAAAGGAAAAGAAAAGCAAGCGCAGUAGAAGCUGCAGCAGUAGUAGUGACUCCGACACCGACGGUCACAAACAUAAGAAAAGAAAGAAGAGUAAGUCUAAGUCCAAACGUAAAGAUAAAGAUAAAUGGGAAAGGACACCUUCCUUAUCACGAUCCAGAACGCCUGAAUUGAAACCUGAUCCAGAAUUAAUUAAGACUCUAGCCAUUAAGAAAGAAGAUGACAAAAGUGUGGUUAAUGUUAAAGUUGCUGUAAAGGAAGAAAAGCCAGAUAAAGUUAAAGUUGAAGUCAAAGAAGAGAAGAAGAGGCGAGUUUCUGUGAAACAUGAAGAUGGUCAUAGUCCAAUAUCACAUAGUAUUGAUAAUGAUCAUAUUCCACUCCCAGAUAUGCCUAUGGAUGGCAACCUUAAUACAUGUGAUUUGCGAGUCAGACUGGAAGGUAAGAAAUGUGAUUCAGGAGACAAUGAUAAGUCUAAGGGUAAAAUUCAAAUAAAGAAUUUGAAGUUCAGUGCGGUGUAUGAAGAAACUGUGAAGAAAGCUGAAGAGGAAGCAAGGAAGAAGGCGAAGAUGUAUGAAGAAGGUGAAUACACAGACUCAUCAAGCUGUUCUGACAAGCCUGAGUGUACAAAUUCCCAGUUUCCAAAAUCUGCUGAUCCAGGUGGAAUAUUGAAAAAACAAGCAGUCGAAGAGAGCAAACUAAUUGAAGAACAGAAGAGUCAAUCCAAAAAGAGUAAAAGUUCAGAUAAACACACGGAGAAGCAUUCAGAGAGUUCUCACAAGUCUUCAAAGCGAGACAAGGAUAGAAGCAGAUCUCCUAAGAGAUCGCACAGCAAGUCACAUCGUUCUCGCUCGCGCUCGACAUCGCGGCGCUACCACCGGUCCUCAUCCAAAUCUCACCGCCGCAGUCGGUCUCGACACCGCUCGCGUUCGCGCUCCAGGCGCUCCACAUCACGGACACGGGCUAGGAGGCUCACUUCAAGACAUCGCAGGAGGUCUAGCAGGUCACCAUCAGGCGUGAAGCUAGCAGACAGCGAGAAGAAGCGUCUUCUAGAAGUGGCUAGAAGGAACGCCAUCAACAUGUUGAAGAACGGUGCGGUCCCCGCCGGCGCGGCCGCGCUGCCGCCGCACACCAGGAACCAGGUCAUGGCCGCUAUACAGUCUGGAGGUAAAUCAGUCGACGAAUUGACAGACUUCUGCAAGCAUUUAUCUAAGAAGGAAGCGUUGGGGGAACUAUCAUCCGUCUCGUCAAACGACGAAGGAAUGAGCGAGAACGAAGAUACGAUCGCGUUCCAUCACCCCUUCUUAGUCAAGGAGAAAGCUCCUAUUGUUAUGAAUAUAAGGGGCGGCGCCCCACUACCAGUCAAAAGCACGAGCAUACUUCCAGUAGCCAAUAAGGAAGAGUUACGACUCCAGUUCCCCGUGUCUUCUGGAUCACAACAUCGCGAGAAAGCUUCGGAGUGGGUGCCCGUCUCGCCGAAGAAAAGUGAAAUGCAAGUAGCAAAAUUGAACUCGAAGCCGGCUGCACCUAAGCCAGUCGAACCUCCUAAGCCGCCGCUGCCGGUGGAGGCGCCCGCGGUUCCGCUGGCGCUGCCCGCGCCGCCCGCGCCCCCCACGCCGCCCGCGCCCGCCUCCGAGCCCGUCCCUCCGCCCGCAUACGCUAAGAACUUCACUUCUGGAACCCAGCUGUCGACGGUGCCCGUGUUGCCUGUGUUGCCAGCGUUACCGGCGCCCGGCCCACAAGCGUACCCCCCCGGACUUGAACCACCGAAAGUUGACUAUGCAUCGAUCGUGUCACAGAAAAUAGCCAUGAUUCGCAAGGAGCAAGAGCAAAGCGAACUAGGCACCACGCGAGGCUUCGGCUGGUCAAAGGAGCAAACCCUGGGCCAGUUCACCGGCUCCACAGGCGCGCAGAUCCUGACUCCACGCGAGCUCGCCAGCGGCACGCAAGCGUGGGCUAAGAAGCUUUUUAUAAGGCGCCCGCGAGUUUGGUCGUAACGCUACAUCUAUACGGCACGGUCCAUCGAUCAACCACGUGGUAAUGUUAGAACAUCUAACAUUCGCACUGAGGAUCAACUGACGCGAGCUGCUCCCGUAGAGGGGGGUAUGGGGAUGCAUCUUCUUCAGAAAAUGGGGUGGACCCCGGGGCAAGGGCUGGGGAAAGAAGGCACGGGCACCCUGCAACCUCUGCUGCUGGAGGUCAAACUUG